GUGCUUGCUCAGGCAGCACAUAUGAAAAAUUGGAAUCGAUACAGAGAAGAUUAGCAUGGCCCCUGCGAAAGGAUGAC
ensembl:snRNA U6 U6 spliceosomal RNA